UCUAUACCGUGAAACUGCGAAUGGCUCAUUAAAUCAGUUAUCGUUUAUUUGAUAGUACCUUACUACUUGGAUAACCGUGGUAAUUCUAGAGCUAAUACAUGCUAAAAACCUCGACUUCGGAAGGGGUGUAUUUAUUAGAUAAAAAACCAAUGCCCUUCGGGGCUCCUUGGUGAUUCAUGAUAACUUAACGAAUCGCAUGGCCUUGUGCCGGCGAUGGUUCAUUCAAAUUUCUGCCCUAUCAACUUUCGAUGGUAGGAUAGUGGCCUACCAUGGUUUCAACGGGUAACGGGGAAUUAGGGUUCUAUUCCGGAGAGGGAGCCUGAGAAACGGCUACCACAUCCAAGGAAGGCAGCAGGCGCGCAAAUUACCCAAUCCCGACACGGGGAGGUAGUGACAAUAAAUACUGAUACAGGGCUCUUUUGGGUCUUGUAAUUGGAAUGAGUACAAUUUAAAUCCCUUAACGAGGAACAAUUGGAGGGCAAGUCUGGUGCCAGCAGCCGCGGUAAUUCCAGCUCCAAUAGCGUAUAUUAAAGUUGUUGCAGUUAAAAAGCUCGUAGUUGAACCUUGGGCCUGGCUGGCCGGUCCGCCUCACCGCGUGCACUGGUCCGGCCGGGCCUUUCCUCCUGGGGAGCCGCAUGCCCUUCACUGGGUGUGUCGGGGAACCAGGACUUUUACUUUGAAAAAAUUAGAGUGUUCAAAGCAGGCCUAUGCUCGAAUACAUUAGCAUGGAAUAA
rnacentral:rRNA from 1 species